CCAGAGAGCCACAGGCUAACUUGUGUUACUUUUUCAUCAUAUAUAUACAUACAUAUAUAUAUAUUUUUAUUUUUUAUCUUUUUUGCUCUGCAUCGUAGUUUAUUACGGCUUAAUUGCACAAGUAAAACAAACUACGACAACAGUCUCUGUUUGACGUCAGCAAGGUAUAUACUUUUUUUUUCAUCCGCUCAUAACUCGCUACAAUAUUUCACAUUAAACCCUGCCUAUUCACUUAUUGAGCAAUAGAUAACUGGACUGCUUGUAUCCAUGUAAGUUUAACCAGAUGACUAUCAUUUUUCCCACACUAACAAGAAAGUACAUAAACUGACUGACACGCAAACACUUCAACUGCAAGAGAUCUGUCAGUUCACCGGAGUGAUUUGAAAUCCAAGCAGCGGAAAGUGACUUGGGAAAAGGUUGCUGUCUGUGAGAGUCCUGUGACUUUACCUGCUAGUUGUAAAUGUUGAGGAUGCCUUAGCUGCACACCUUAAUGUUUGUCAUAGGUGGUGUGGCAGUUUGAAGACUGUUAUAUGGCAUAGUGACAUGAAUGUGAACGCUUGUAAGCCCGGCUUCUACUACCAUGUAAGCAUACAUACUGUAGCAGGUUAAUGCUGCCUUUCAGUCAGUAAUUCCCAGGUUAUGAUUAGUUUCCAGUGGGUCACACUGGAAGACUUUCUCCAUCCAACAUUAACAGCAUGCAUGCUUACGUUCCAGCAGGCAAGACUUGCUGGGCUACGCACCUUUUCAUCCACGAGCCCCAGGUCAUUGUGUGGAAGUGAGGUUUAUUUUGGAAUGUGCACCACUUGAGUACUGGCAGGUCCUGCGUUAUGUUACAGAUAUUGUAUUCAGAUGAUGCAUAUUCCCAAAUGUAGUUGCACUGAUUUGAAUUACCACUGAGGCUUUUGGCAAAGAUAUAGCUAAAAGGAUGUGUGUUGGAUACCUGUUUACAACACAGCAUAGGGAAAAGGGUAACAGCUGUAAAGCAGGCGUGAUAUUUCAUGCUAAGCUGUAACACUGACCUUGGUUCGCUUGGGGGGGGGGAAAAAACACAUAACCUGAGAAACUCCUGCUCCAACAUUUUCUCUGACUACAAGUCGGCAAAGUCUUUUCUUACACCUUUGAAAUGCAGCAUUAGACCUUUACGGUAUACGCAGUCAGGUAUUAUGGUUGAACCUUGGGAGUUUUGAUGAAUAUCACUGCACGUCACAGCGUUGUAUCUGGUUGAUCACAUAUCCAAGAAGGGGGAGAUCACUGAUUGGACGAGACACAGCCCAGCAGCUUAGGGGGCGACCAUCCCCCCAAACCUGCACCUCCAACCACAGAAGAGCAGAGAAAAUGGAGGGGAAAAAAAGCAAUUUUGAAGCCUUAAGUGAUGAGGGAUACAGCAAAUAAGAGGAAGUACUAUUGCUUUUAAGAGGGUUUAAAAACAAGAAUCUAAACUUGAACAUAUGUGAAUAGAAUUGUAGUUUUGUAAUGUGAAAAAAACAAAAAAAAACCCAGAAAGUUCGUCUAAAAAAACGCUGAACCACCCAGGACAGGUCAUUUUUGCAGUGAUGCAGAGUGCGUUGGACAAUUGGAACUGGAAGUGGUAAUCAAAAAAGGAGGGAGAAAAAACCACACAUAAAGCAAAAGGUUAAAAAUAGAGAUUCUCUCAGCAGACAAGCUCUCUUGAGAAAUGAGUGUAUUCCUGAACAAGAGCCAAUAGAGGCAAUUUGAUAUAUAAAAAUUGUGAUAUUUUUGUAUUCAGUGUCAGUCCUUUUUCCAUUUGUGGAGGGUUAUAGCAGGGCACAAAUAUUUGUAUUUCUUUUUUUUUUUUUUAACCUGUUUUUUUUUUCUCUUUUUGGGUGUGAAUCAUUUUAUUUGCCUUGCUCCUCUUUGAUAUUGUUGAACAAAAAAACAUGUGUGUGAACAUAUUGUAAUAAUAAGUGUUGCUUUCUGGAUGUCAAUUGCAUUGUAGGUGAAGGACUAAAUCUAUCCGCCACAAAUUUUACGAGUGUGUGUGUGUGUGUAUGUGACAAAGUUAAGAGAGAAAAAAAAAAGAAGAAAAAAAAAGAUGAUAAUAUGCGGGGCGGCAGGGGGACGCGGCCAAACCGACCAAUUAGUACUUGUCAUUCAUGAUUUUUCAAUCAAACUUGACUGUCGACAUGUUUUUUUGUUUUGUUUUUGUACUUGAAAAAAAAAGAAAAAAGAAGGGAUGGCAUGUCCCGUGGUGUCUUGCCAUUUUAUUCUCUAACACUGUGAUUUGAGGGAGCUUCUUUUCACCCUCGCAUAAUAUCCACCCACUAUAAUAUACCCAGUCACGGUUCAGUCUGAACACCACAAUGCAAGACCUGUUCAGUCACAUUAUUCCUAUCAUCGUCCUCUGAAUGUUUUCUACUUUCUUGUGCAGGUGAAAGAGUGCAUGAAAGAGUGUGUAACUGUGUGUGUGCGUGUGGGUGUGUAUUAGUGGAAAAAUGCACUAAACAGAUCAGAUACAAAAUAAAUGAUAUUCUAUGCCACUUUUUUUCUGUGGGAAAAAUAUAUAUAUACAUUGGCAUUGAUAUAGUUCUUCCCUCAGUGUUUCUCCGAUGUUUCUGUACUAUCUUUGUGCCUAAAAAUGGAAAUUGUUCAACAAAAAUAUCCAUCUAUAUCUGCUUAGUUUCUGUAUUUUCAGAAGAAAAUAAAAAUGGUGUCUCCAGCGCCCUAGGGAUGUCAUGACGCUCUAAAAUGACCUGAUUUUCUUUCUUUUUUUCCUUUUUAAUCCUGAAUAGAGCAGUGCCUCUUCUUUUCUUGUUUUUUUUCAAGGACUGCAAUAAACCCUUAAUGCUAUUGAAAUAGCAACUAGGAUUGUGCAUUCGCUUCUGUUCUUUGGCUCUGCUCUAUGAUUGGCUCCCAGAAGCAUUUAUUUAGCAACACAAAACAAAACAUGGGGAAAAUUUACUGAAAUUUGUGCUGCAGUCGUGAAACUAUUAGAGACUUUUGGGGACGAGAUCUGCUUUGUGAUUUAUUUUUCUGUUUUCUUGCGAGCAAACGAGGCCCCGAGUCUGCUUCUCUAAUUCUAAUUUUCUCUUUUUGUCAGCAACAGGUUUGCUGAGCAGAACAUUUUAUUGUUCUGGAAAAAAUGUAAAAAAAAAAAAAUGAUAAAGAAACCUCCAUUUGGGUAGGUUAGCACCGGGGUAUUACCCUUCUGUUGCUUCAGUUUUGUUUGUUUUUUAAGUACUUUUUCUUUGCUACAAAAAAGCAUUUAAGAGGGGAUGUUCAAUUCGUCAGAGAGGAAUCAUGGCAUCCCUGGACCUGGCACUCUGUGUUUGGGUGUGGUGUUUCUAGAACAAAGUAGCCAUUUCAUGCAGUGUUGCAAUGCAUGUGUCAUCGAGGUCUAGACUAAACUUGUUUGAGUAACAAAGCACCAAGACAUUGUAUUUUUUUAUAUUAGCACUGAGGACCAAUUGCCCUGUCGGACCAAGCAUAACAAAGCUUUUUAUGUAACAAAGCUUUUCUCUCUCUGUCUUUCCCUGGCUUGUCUGUGCUACUUCUUUCCUCCAUUGUUGUGACAGCACAAGUGCCAGUCAAGUUGCUCUAUAUUAAGAAAAUAGUGUUUUUAUUAUGAUUUGAAUGGUUAUAGUUUUUGUCUACCUCAGCACCUAAUCUUAGCCUAAUCUUAGAAGGUGCCCAAUUAUUAUUUUUUAUUUUCUUUAUUUUGGUCUCUUAUUGUUGUCAGGUAUAUAAAUAUUAUUAUUAUUUUUUUUUUUUUUGGAGAAAAUUGGCAUUAGAGCUUUGCAAAGGUCCUUUGUCUUUUCCAGCGACAACGUGCUAUUUCUUUCUGUGGCAGUACGUUUUCUGUUGAGCUGUGCCACCAAUCUAUAGCCACUGUCUGUUGAUAUAGAAGUUGUUCUUUUUCGUUUCUUUCCAUGUAGAAUCAGACACAUCUCUUUGUAACAUUUCAGUGUUCUCUGAUGGAGUGUGAAAAAAAUAAAAAGGAAAAAUAAAAGAAUUAUGCUGCAGGUUUUCUUCUCCAUGUUGUCGAUAAAGUCAAUGUUGUGCCUUUGAUAGUGAAAAUAUAACGAUUUUUUGUUUUGUUUUUUUACAUCCUACUAACAGUAGAUUGUUUUUGUUUGUUUUUUUUGUAGUGAAAUUUUUUUGUAAUUUUAUUUAUGAGUCUCAUAACAGAAAUCAAAUCAUGAUGUUCAGUUGUAUACUUUCAAACUGCAGUUAGAAAAAAAAAUAAAAAAUGGACUUCAUGUUGUC
ensembl:lncRNA